CGGAGGUAGCUCAAUGGCAGAGCCGCGGUUUUCCACACCGCUGACGCGGGUUCGAUUCCCGUCCUCCG
rnacentral:tRNA from 1 species